AUACAUAAGAAGAAUUUCACUCAAUAACUUGAGAACAAAAGUCACCUUCACCAAACCAGCAGAUCUUUCUGAUUCAGACUCCACUUUCCUCGUCUCAUCAACCUUAGAUUUGCCCUUCACCUUGGUGGCAGGUUCAUCCACCUCCAUAGAAUUUGAUUCACUUGUACAACCCUCCUCAUUUUUUGGCAAAGGGUAUUUCAAGACUAUGUCCAAAAGCUGAUCAAUUACUUGAGCAAGAUUGGCAGGAAUCUUUUUAUG
rnacentral:misc_RNA from 1 species